rnacentral:rRNA from 1 species
GUUUGAUCCUGGCUCAGGAUGAACGCUGGCGGCGUGCUUAACACAUGCAAGUCGAACGAUGAAGCCCAGCUUGCUGGGUGGAUUAGUGGCGAACGGGUGAGUAACACGUGAGUAACCUGCCCUUAACUCUGGGAUAAGCCUGGGAAACUGGGUCUAAUACCGGAUAGGAGCGUCCACCGCAUGGUGGGUGUUGGAAAGAUUUAUCGGUUUUGGAUGGACUCGCGGCCUAUCAGCUUGUUGGUGAGGUAAUGGCUCACCAAGGCGACGACGGGUAGCCGGCCUGAGAGGGUGACCGGCCACACUGGGACUGAGACACGGCCCAGACUCCUACGGGAGGCAGCAGUGGGGAAUAUUGCACAAUGGGCGCAAGCCUGAUGCAGCGACGCCGCGUGAGGGAUGGAGGCCUUCGGGUUGUAAACCUCUUUCGCCAGUGAAGCAGGCCUGCUCCUUGUGGGUGGGUUGACGGUAGCUGGAUAAGAAGCGCCGGCUAACUACGUGCCAGCAGCCGCGGUAAUACGUAGGGCGCGAGCGUUGUCCGGAAUUAUUGGGCGUAAAGAGCUCGUAGGCGGCUGGUCGCGUCUGUCGUGAAAUCCUCUGGCUUAACUGGGGGCUUGCGGUGGGUACGGGCCGGCUUGAGUGCGGUAGGGGAGACUGGAACUCCUGGUGUAGCGGUGGAAUGCGCAGAUAUCAGGAAGAACACCGGUGGCGAAGGCGGGUCUCUGGGCCGUUACUGACGCUGAGGAGCGAAAGCGUGGGGAGCGAACAGGAUUAGAUACCCUGGUAGUCCACGCCGUAAACGUUGGGCACUAGGUGUGGGGGGCCUUUUCCGGGUCUUCCGCGCCGUAGCUAACGCAUUAAGUGCCCCGCCUGGGGAGUACGGCCGCAAGGCUAAAACUCAAAGGAAUUGACGGGGGCCCGCACAAGCGGCGGAGCA